GAUGAACGCUGGCGGCGUGCCUAAUACAUGCAAGUCGAGCGAACGGACGAGAAGCUUGCUUUUCUGAUGUUAGCGGCGGACGGGUGAGUAACACGUGGAUAACCUACCUAUAAGACUGGGAUAACUUCGGGAAACCGGAGCUAAUACCGGAUAAUAUUUUGAACCGCAUGGUUCAAAAGUGAAAGACGGUCUUGCUGUCACUUAUAGAUGGAUCCGCGCUGCAUUAGCUAGUUGGUAAGGUAACGGCUUACCAAGGCAACGAUGCAUAGCCGACCUGAGAGGGUGAUCGGCGACACUGGAACUGAGACACGGUCCAGACUACUACGGGAGGCAGCAGUAGGGAAUCUUCCGCAAUAGGCGGAAGCCUGACGGAGCAACGCCGCGUGAGUGAUGGAGGUCUUCGGAUCGUAAAACUCUGUUAUUAGGGAAGAACAUAUGUGUAAGUAACUGUGCACAUCUUGACGGUACCUAAUCAGAAAGCCACGGCUAACUACGUG
rnacentral:rRNA from 1 species